rnacentral:rRNA from 1 species
GAUGAACGCUGGCGGCGUGCCUAAUACAUGCAAGUCGAGCGAACAGAUGAGGAGCUUGCUCCUCUGACGUUAGCGGCGGACGGGUGAGUAACACGUGGAUACCCUACCUAUAAGACUGGGAUAACUUCGGGAAACCGGAGCUAAUACCGGAUAAUAUAUUGAACCGCAUGGUUCAAUAGUGAAAGACGGUUUUGCUGUCACUUAUAGCUGGAUCCGCGCCGCAUUAGCUAGUUGGUAAGGUACCGGCUUAUCAAGGCAACGAUGCGUAGCCGAGCUGAGAGGGUGAACGGCCACACUGGAACUGAGACACGAUCCAGAGACCUACGGGAGGCAGAAGUAGGGAAGGGUCCGAACUGGGCGAAAGCCUGCAGGAGGAACGGCGCGUGGGUGAUGAAGCGCUGCGGAUGGGAAAACGGUGUUAUUAGGGAAGAACAAAUGUGUAAGUAACGAUGCACGUCUGAACGGUACGUAAACAGAAAGCCCCGGUUAAUUACGG